GCACUACUGAGGAGUCCCACAAUAGGACGAAACAGCUGUUCAGUGC
rnacentral:hammerhead_ribozyme from 1 species